rnacentral:tRNA from 1 species
UAACAAUGUAUUUUAUUAAGAAUACUGGGUUUGCGUCUCGGAGGUGGGAGUUUCCCUUUGUUAU